CCCGGGAAGAGUCGGCGCCGCUAGUGCCGGGACCAGGAGCCUCCGCGAGCAAGAUGGCCGCUCCCGAGACCGAGGCCAGGGGGCAGGGGUACUAAGUCCGGACCCGCGUGCCCUUCUCCCGGCCGCCUGCGCCCUCAUCAAGACCUCGCGCUUCUAGCCAAGACAUCUACAUGGAUUAUUCUCGCCGUGGUCACGAGGCCGUUCCAAUAGAGCUCUAGUUGGCCCAGAUUGAGAACUCUGGCAUUUGGCUGCUCUGAGCUGGAACCUCCGGGAGGUCUGCUGCAACAGGUGCGACCCUGACCGCUCCAUGCUCGUGGGCGCGGGGAGGCGUGGCCUCCCCCGGGGCGGCCACCUCUGUUGGUUGCUGUGCGCUUUCACCUUAAAGCUCUGCGAAGCAGAGGCCCCGGUGCGCGAGGAGAAGCUAUCAGGUGGGUGAUUGCCCGAGAAUCCUGUACCUCUCUAUAGCUUGUUUGUUUCUAAUGCCUUUUUAGUACACCCAGAACACAGAUAGAAAAAGGAGGUGCCACCUGGAGUGAGGGCGGGCAAGCCCUGUGUUGGGAAGCUAGAUGGGCAGAGCCUUUGAGAGAAAUGUUUUUUUGAAUGGUCUUCGGCUGGCCGUUUUUCUCUCUCUCCUUUUAGUGAGCACAUCAACUUCACCAUGUUGGUUGGUAGAAGAGUUUGUGGUGACCGAAGAGUGUACUCCGUGUUCUAACUUCCAGAUU
rnacentral:lncRNA from 1 species